rnacentral:ncRNA from 1 species
AACAACGUGAUGAUAGGAACUAGUAACUUACAGCAUGCUUAAGAGAGUCGAUGGCUGGUGAAAAUCGAUGCAGCGCUGUGAGUGAAUCCAUCCUGGAAUGGUAUGGAAACAUACCCGGUACAAACCGUUACCUUGCCGAGCCGGAAGACUUCUUUGUCUUCAACCAGGGUGGUAUCGCGGGUGAAACAUCUCGUCCCUUUU